CAGAGGUGGCAAGCGUUGUUCGGAUUCAUUGGGUGUAAAGGGUCCGUAGGUGGUCGAGCAAGUCUGAUGUGAAAUCCCAUGGCUCAACCGUGGAACUGCAUUGGAAACUGCGCGACUUGAGUACCGCAGAGGUGAAGGGAAUUCCCGGUGUAAGGGUGAAAUCUGUAGAUAUCGGGAGGAACACCAGUGGCGAAGGCGCUUCACUGGGCGGUUACUGACACUGAGGGACGAAAGCAAGGGUAGCAAACAGGAUUAGAUACCCUGGUAGUCCUUGCCGUAAACGAUGUGGAUUAGGUGCUGGGGGUGUUGAUCCCCCCAGUGCCGCAGUUAACACAUUAAAUCCACCACCUGGGGAGUACGGUCGCAAGACUG
rnacentral:rRNA from 1 species